AUAUUACUCAGCGGAGGAAAAGAAACUAACAAAGAUUGCCCCAGUAACGGCGAGUGAAGAGGCAAGAGCUCAAAGUUAAAAUCGUGCAUCUCUGGUGUACGAAUUGUAACCUCAAGGGGGGAACAUAAACUAAACUGAUGUAUAAGUUCUCUGGAAUGGAGGCCAUAGAGGGUGAAAGUCCCGUGUAUGGCCCAAGUAUUGUUCCAUUACGUGUCAACCUUUUGAUGAGUCGGGUUGUUUGGGAUUGCAGCCUAAAAAGGGUGGUAGAUCUCAUCUAAAGCUAAACAUCUUGGGGAGACCGAUAGCGCACAAGUA
rnacentral:rRNA from 1 species